CCGAAAAAUAACCUUGGCCGGAGAUUCCACGUACAGCAUUCAUCCCAAGGAUUCUAGCUGCAGUGGAAAGCCUUCCCUGGAUGUGGAAGUUUGCGAUACCCACCGAAUGCGCAGCUAUUGCAUGCAGGAGUAUGAACCGAUACGGAACGAGAUGCAACCCACGUCACGGAGCUUACUAACUACUGCAGCAUGCCAACGAAAUACCUGCCGGCAAUCAAAUAGGCGUGGUCCAUCUAAUGGGAGGUCAGCGGUAACAAGUUGAUUCAUCAGCAUUUGCACGCACUCCGUCAUAAAGAAAAUCAACAAUCGUGGAACAAGAUGCCACUUUCUUUGCGGUGUUUUGCCGAAGAGGAAAACUGUUGCAUUAUCGUUCAUACAGCAACGGGGAUUGUGCUGCAGCAUGCCAACGGCUAG